rfam:Candidatus Sungbacteria bacterium RIFCSPHIGHO2_02_FTLL_52_23 rifcsphigho2_02_scaffold_4743, whole genome shotgun sequence.
CGGGCCGUCGUAUAAUGGCAGUACGCAAGGCUGGGGGUCUUGUAGCGGGAGUCCGAUUCUCCCCGGCCCGA